GGUCCUGUAGUGUAGUGGUUAUCACUCGGGAUUUUGAUUAAUUACGUAAUUAAUUAUUACGUCAUUUGGAUUCCCGGAACCCUGGUUCGAAUCCUGGCAGGACCU